ACUCCUACGGGAGGCAGCAGUGGGAAGUCUUGGACAAUGGGGGCGAACCCUGAUCCAGCCAUGCCGCGUGAGUGAUGAAGGCCUUAGGGUCGUAAAGCUCUUUCGCCUGUGAAGAUAAUGACGGUAGCAGGUAAAGAAACCCCGGCUAACUCCGUGCCAGCAGCCGCGGGUAAUACGGAGGGGUUAGCGUUGUUCGGAAUUACUGGGCGUAAAGCGCACGUAGGCGGAUCGGAAAGUUGGGGUGAAAUCCCGGGGCUCAACCCCGGAACUGCCUCCAAAACUAUCGGUCUAGAGUUCGAGAGAGGUGAGUGGAAUUCCGAGUGUAGAGGUGAAAUUCGUAGAUAUUCGGAGGAACACCAGUGGCGAAGGCGGCUCACUGGCUCGAUACUGACGCUGAGGUGCGAAAGUGUGGGAGCAAACAGGAUUAGAUACCCUGGUAGGACAGUG
rnacentral:rRNA from 1 species